rnacentral:tRNA from 1 species
GCCGAGGUGGCGAAAUUGGCAGACGCGCUACUUUGAGGGGGUAGUGGGGGCAACCCCGUAUGGGUUCAAGUCCCAUCCUCGGCACCA